GAUGAAGAACGCAGCGAAAUGCGAUAAGUAGUGUGAAUUGCAGAAUUCAGUGAAUCGUCGAAUCUUUGAACGCACAUUGCGCCCCUUGGUAUUCCAUGGGGCAUGCCUGUUCGAGCGUCAUUUGUACCUUCAAGCUUUGCUUGGUGUUGGGUGUUUGUCCCUCGGGACUCGCCUUAAAGUCAUUGGCAGCCAGUGUUUUGGUUUUGAAGCGCAGCACAAGUCGCGAUUCAAGGCUAUCCGCCCGCUUCCACAAGCCUUUUUCACUUUUGACCUCGGAUCAGGUAGGGAUACCCGCUGAACUUAAGCAUAUCAAUAAGCGGAGGA
rnacentral:misc_RNA from 1 species